rnacentral:rRNA from 1 species
CCCUACGGGGGGCAGCAGUCGGGAAUAUUGCGCAAUGGAGGAAACUCUGACGCAGUGACGCCGCGUAUAGGAAGAAGGUUUUCGGAUUGUAAACUAUUGUCGAUAGGGAAGAAAAAAGACUGUACCUAUCAAGAAAGCUCCGGCUAACUACGUGCCAGCAGCCGCGGUAAUACGUAGGGGGCAAGCGUUAUCCGGAUUUACUGGGUGUAAAGGGAGCGUAGACGGCAUGGCAAGUCUGAAGUGAAAGCCCGGGGCUCAACCGCGGGACUGCUUUGGAAACUGUUAAGCUGGAGGGCAGGAGAGGG